rnacentral:rRNA from 1 species
CGGGACGGGUGAGCAAUGUCUGGGAAACUGCCUGAUGGAGGGGGAUAACUACUGGAAACGGUAGCUAAUACCGCAUAACGUCGCAAGACCAAAGAGGGGGACCUUCGGGCCUCUUGCCAUCGGAUGUGCCCAGAUGGGAUUAGCUAGUAGGUGGGGUAAAGGCUCACCUAGGCGACGAUCCCUAGCUGGUCUGAGAGGAUGACCAGCCACACUGGAACUGAGACACGGUCCAG